rnacentral:tRNA from 1 species
GCCACGGUGGUCUAGAGGUUAGAACGCUGGCCUUGUAAUCCUGGGGUCUCGGGUUCGAUUCCCGGCGGUGCCA